rnacentral:lncRNA from 1 species
UGAAUUUGAUGUUUGAAAAAGCAAGAAGGUAGAGUAUAAGGAAUUUAAGGAAAUUUCUAGUUUGUCCCUGGUAACACUGUUUGGAGUGGCUUUUUAAAAUUUUGUCGAUCAUGCCACUCUUACUUAAACAUUAUUAAAACACAGGAAGUUGAGCAACUCCUAAACAAUUAAACAAAUAUUGAUCCUUCCCUCACAAAACACAGGCCAGUCUUAGAUGUUGGAGACAGAUUCUGAAUCACCUUCUCUUUGGCGGCUGAAAGCAGUGCAACAAUAAUGUUGGACAAGGAAAGAAACUCCUUUCAUCUGGGGGCUUCAGAGUGUUUUGCAAACAAUGAACCCAAGCUUCACAGCAACCUUGCUAGGUGAGAUGAGAAGAAAAUAAAGUCCUCAUGAAACCCCUGAAGAACUCCCUGCCCUCCUCAACUCUGGUAAGUGGUUAUUGCGAAAGUGUGUGAUCUUUAAUGUCUCUUCCACCUCUUUUCCAUUUGCUUUGUAAUAAUAACUUACUUCUCUUGUAUAGCUAUCAGCUUUCCCACUGAUGUGUCCCCAGAUGAAGAACAUGUGUAACUAAUAUUUGUCACCGCUACAAUUAAAGCAGCGCUCUGUACAUAAAAGACAUUCAAUAUGUGUGUGCAUCCCUUAGGGGAACCAGGAGGAUUUUUCUCCAAUAAAGAGAAGAGUCUCUUGUCCUGGGGAAAACAGUAGGAUGAAAGGAGAUAUUGCAAUUAUUGACCCUUUUUUCUGGAACAACAUCCUACUUUUUUUUUAAACUAAAUUACCUAGAAACAAGACAACAGUAUGAAUUAUUCAAAUGAAAUGACAAUUUCAAAAGGUCAAUGCCAC